AUACGUAGGUGACAAGCGUUAUCCGGAUUUACUGGGCGUAAAGGGCGUGUAGGCGGUCUUGCAAGUCAGAAGUGAAAUUCCUGAGCUCAACUCGGGCGCUGCUUCUGAAACUGCAGGACUUGAGUGCUGGAGGGGAUAGCGGAAUUCCUAGUGGAGCGGUAAAAUGCGCAGAUAUUAGGAAGAACACCGGUGGCGAAGGCGGCUAUCUGGACAGUAACUGACGCUGAGGCGCGAAAGCGUGGGGAGCAAACAGGAUUAGAUACCCUGGUAGUCCACGCCAUAAACGAUGAAUACUAGGUGUAGGGGGUAUCGACCCCCUCUGUGCCGACGUUAACACAUUAAGUAUUCCACCUGGGGAGUACGGCCGCAAGGCUGAAACUCAAAGGAAUUGGCGGGG
rnacentral:rRNA from 1 species